UACAAACUGUUUUCUCUAAACACAUAUUGUGUGGAAGAAUAGAAAAUUUUAAAUAAUUUAAAUAAUCUAAUUUUGUCAUAUGAAGAACUCGUAUAGAAAAUCAUAUUUUUUAACAAGCCGUUCCAACCAGCUGGCUCUUACUUCCAAGCCAGAGGGGAGAAGGUAUAAACUAGGCAUACAUCACCCAUCUUUGCCUGUCAAAUCUGCAAAUAUUAAAACAAGAUAAAUUAAAAAGUAGAAAUGGUAGUGUGUGGAACUAUCUACUGGAUUACCGGACUUCCACAGAGACUCUCUCAUCCAUGGCUGAUUGUCUAAUCCUGUGUUCUCUGGGGGCUCCCAGAGGUGGAGAAGUACAGGAGCCAGUUCAUGGGCCACUGCAGGGUCCACAGUGGAGACCAAGGUCUG